rnacentral:rRNA from 1 species
AUUGAACGCUGGCGGCAUGCCUUACACAUGCAAGUCGAACGGCAGCACGGGUGCUUGCACCUGGUGGCGAGUGGCGAACGGGUGAGUAAUACAUCGGAACGUACCUUAUCGUGGGGGAUAACGCAGCGAAAGUUGCGCUAAUACCGCAUACGCCCUGCGGGGGAAAGCGGGGGACCGUAAGGCCUCGCGCGAUUAGAGCGGCCGAUGUCUGAUUAGCUUGUUGGUGAGGUAAAAGCUCACCAAGGCGAUGAUCAGUAGCUGGUCUGAGAGGACGAUCAGCCACACUGGGACUGAGAGACGGCCCAGACUCCUACGGGAGGCAGCAGUGGGGAAGUUUGGACAAGGGGGGCAACCCUGAUCCAGCAAUGCCGCGUGAGUGAAGAAGGCCUUCGGGGUGUAAAGCUCUUUUGUCAGGGAAGAAACAGCAGCUCUAACACAGUCUGCGAAGGACGGUACCUGAAGAAUAAGCACCGGCUAACUACGU